GUGGGUGAAUGUUCCUGUCUCUGUGUUUUGCACCAGAUAGGGCUGUUUUGGUUUUCCACUUUUGUUGUUUUUGUAGUGUUCGUGUUUAUCCUUUUUUUUUUUGUUAUUAAACAUGAAUCAGUAUAAUCAUGCCACAUUUUGGUCCGCUUCUCCUUCACAACAGGAAGACCGUUACAACCCCCUGAGUGCCAGCAAGCUAUGCAUCUAUGCUGACAAUGUCAUUCCAGUGUCAGAGCUCCUGCAGUGGGAACUUGUGGUGGUGGCAGGGUUAAAGUGGGAUCUGGCUUCUGUGUUACCUUCUGACUUCCCAGAGCCAAUUCUUCAUGGCAUACCCAUAAUCCCUCAACUUCCAUUCCUUGCGCAGGCAUGUCCACUCCUACAUUGCACUGGCAGCCAUAGGAAUCUCUCUGCUGCUGCUCUGACCAGUUGGAGGGUGUGCUGGAGCUCAGCCUGCCCCCCUCCCCCAGGCACCAGGGGCUUGUCGUUCAGGGAUGCCCGUCCCAGAGAUCAGCUAGACCGCCACUGACAUCCAAGACCUACUGGGAUAGAGAUGACACCAAGCAGACAAUCAAUUUAAUGGGUCUUAACAAUGACUGGGGCUUAGUUUACCAUAGUGACCAUAAUGAGAAAGGUGUCUUAACUACCCCUUACGACAAUUUUUGGCAGAGAAGUACUAGCUCAGUCACUAAAACAAUGUAUGUGAUAUGAAGAAACACAUCUUUUAAGAUGAAUUGUGAUCUUUUUGAUAAGAUGUCCAUGUUUCUUUCUGACAUUUGUUUGAGUUCUUUAUUUCAUUGCUAUGCUCUUGGUGUUUUAAGGACAUUUUAAAACAUUGACGUUACUGUUAGCUUCAGGGAAGCUCUCUGAAGAGUUACCACAGAGGGGCAUCCUUUUAACUUAAAUAUGCUAUUUGGGAUUUUGCCAGCCAUUUUGCACUACAUUUUUAUUUCAAUGUUUGCACUGUGUGAGCUUGGUGAAGACAUUAUUCACUAUUAAAAUGCUGCUUUUUAAUUUGUACCCCUUCUGACAUCUCUCUCAUCCUGCGAACAUCAGUAAGUCAGGACUGUUACGAGUGUAAUACACCUCUAUGUUGACUAAUGCCAGCAGAGUUAGAUCAGCACAACCAAGCAUUGUUUUCUGGUAUCAGCAUUCUACUAUAAUCAGCCUACUAAAUCAAUUGUAAUGCUACAACUAUCAUAUGUCGCAAACAAGGUCAAAGACAAUGAUCGAAUCAUUCAUGUGGGUAUAGUUUCAUUUCCGUUUUUUAAAAUGAUUAAUCAGUGGGAUAGAGCAUAAGGUGACGCAAAAGAUAAGCUGGGAACUUUGGCAUACAUGGAUCACCACCUACAUAUCAUUGCUUAGAUUAACCUGCAUGCUGCAUCUAUUACUUGGCAACGUAUUUUUAAGGUUGUGCCAACAUGAGUUGGCAAACAAUUGACAAAAAUGUAUUUAGGUCACUUAAGGGAAUUGUUUGUAGUUACUGUAUAAUACUGAAAUCACCUGACUCUGUUUGAGCAUCAAAGGGAAUAUCUGUGCCUUAACCUCCUUUGUCGACCAUUCUUGUAUACAUCUAAAACCAAGAGUUAUACUGUAUUUCCCUUUACAUUUAAAAGCAUCCUAUUAAAAAUGCAAUUAUCACAUUCCA